UACAUCAACUACAUCUGACUUGUAUACUUUAGAUAAAAGUGCAAACAAGGUAAUUAUACUUUCAUAUGUUUACUGUUUAUAUUAUAGAAUGUCUUUUCCUUUGUUCAAUCAUCUGUUAUAUAAUUUUAUUUUAAUUUAAAAUACAGAAAGCUUUUAUUAUACAAUUUAACUACAGUACUAUUUGAAAUAAUGCAAAUGGCAACAAAUUGAUACAGUCUCAGGAAUACAAAGGAAUAAAACUAUUUGAUGCAAAAUAUAACAAGAAUGUGUCCCAAAUACACGGAUACCUUAUUCGCACUAUCAUUUAGUAUUUUCAAUGGACCGUGAAAGCGGGAUAAAAACUCUUAAUUUGGCAUUAAAAUUAGAAAGAUUAUAUCAUAGGGAAUAUGUGUACUAAAUUUCAAGUUGAUUGGACUUCAACUUCAUCAAAAACUACCUUGACCAAAAACUUUAACCUGAAGCGGGACAGACGGACGAACGAACGGACGGACGAACGAACGGACGAACAGACCAGAAACCAUAAUGCGAUGGACAAAAAAAGUUGAGACGAAUGGCAAUGAUGUAAAUGAAAGAGCUAUACAUUGAAGACCACAAGACAAAACUAACGGCUGAUAUUAACUAUAAAAACAAUAAACGAAAAUACCAUUAUGGUAUACGGCAACCACCGACAGCUACUGGAUAACUGGCCUCUUGACGAGGACAGAAACACAAAAAAUAUGGCAGGGUUUAACAGGUGUGUUAACGCUCAAAACUCUCCUUAUAGUUGUGUUACACAGAAAAUGCAUGUACAAUGCUUUAUUACUUUUAAGGAAACCAUUUCAAUAUGAAGAAAUCAGCAAUUGUUGGAGCAAUGUUUGUUUUACUUCUGAUCUAUUCGUGUGGUGAGUAAACAGAAUUCCUUAUUUUACAUGUUUUAUUUGUUAAUAUAAUCUGUAAUCAAAGGGAGAGGCUUAGCGCUUUAAAACCAGGUUUAAUUCCCCAUUUUCUACAUUUGAAAUUGCCUGUACCAAGUCAGGAAUAUGACAGUUCUUGUCCAUUCGUUUUUUAUGUGUUUCGUCAUUUGAUUUUGCCAUGUGAUUACGGACUUUCCGAUUUGAUUUUCCCCUGAGUUCGGCAUUUUUGAGAUUUGACUUUUUGUAUAAUCAAGUAUCUUAUUGUAUUAUAACAAAACUUCAUCAAUAGAUUACAGCUUUCUCUUGGUCGAAAUUUACAGGUCCUAGUGAAACAAAAACUACAAACAUUUAUUUUAUUUAUUCAAUGGGACAAUGUACAAACAAAAAUUAAAUAUCUGAUCCAAAAGGGGAUUAAUCUGGUGAAAAAUUUCAUAUGGUUUGCAAUCAUAAUUACUAAAAAUAUAUUUAAUGGUAUUUCAUCUUUAUAAUUAAAAGUGUAUUUGUAAAUGAAAAACAGUAAAAAAAAACAGAUAGAAGGAAAAGGAUAUGAUAAACACAAUAAGUGAACAAACUGUUUUUGUUAACAAUGCUGUUAUUGCUAUUCUUCCAUCUCUAUUAAUAUAGAUUCUAUCUAUAAGAAGUAAAAAGAAUGUAAAAUAUUGCUGUAACAUAUUUGACUUACUAGUAAGACGUCUUUUGUUGCUGCAACUAAUGAAUCUUUCAAAUACACUUUUCAGUCAAUGAAGUACAAGGGGCGGAACCCAAAAACAGUGUACGGGUUCUCAAGUGUUCUAAACACUGCAUACUGCCAUUUACAAAAAGGAAGUGUAAAAAAUGUUGUAAAGAUAAUGGAAAGAAACACGGACGAUGCUUUUCUGUCUUUUGUGUUUGUUGGAACUGGCCGUAAGGUAUAGGGUGAGUAUAACUAAUAGUCGCCAUGAGAUGAGAAUAAACACGUAUAACUAAACCAAUGUCAGCCUUUGGACUAAGUGAGUAAAUUUUUGAACUCCAUAACAGCUUAUCUUAAAAAGAUUAUAUUUAUUCUGGGAGGUCUGAAUAAGCUUGAUUCAUCUUCAUUCACUGCAAGUUCUGUUUGGUCGAUACUUUUGUGUUGUAGGGGUCUGUAAUGCAGUGGUUGUCUUUGGUCGCUGUCUAUCAAUUAUCGUUGUUGUUAGGAGGUAUCCAAUAGAUUAAUAUUCAUUAUUAAGUUAACUCAUUAUCGAUGGCGCUAUGGUUAAAUAUACUUGCUUCCAACUGCUUUGUUCAGUCGUUGGUAGCAAUAAUAGGACAUUCCAUUUUAUAUUACAUCUUGGCGAACUUUGUAUUAACCAUUUAUGUUAUAUGCAAUGAAUUUAGUCCAUUUAGGACUUGAUUUUAUUUAUUAAGGACUCCCUUGGCAACUGAACUGG
rnacentral:lncRNA from 1 species